rnacentral:lncRNA from 1 species
AUACAACUGUUGCAUAUAGAAAAAAAAAACAUGAAAUACAAGAUGAAUAAAAAUUGUUUUAAACAAAGAAUUUUGUUCCCAGAACUGGUUCUGGAGUUGUGUACAAAGUAAACAGAGUUUAUAAGUUUCAACUUAGAACUUGAGAUAAAGUGAUUGCAACUGUGACUCAACUAAGGUUUGACAAGUUCAUAAUUUGACAUUUUAUUGUGGAAAAAACAAGUCAAUCCACCUUUAAAUCCAAGAGGGUGUAGAAUUAUUCUAAAACAUUCGAUCAUUAGUGGAAACAUCAAAAUAACAAUGUAGAACACUCGUACAUCGUUUACGUAGAGUUUUACAUACCUACUAUUACGCUAAGAAUGCAGAAUCAAGACUGCUAACCCUUCCGCUAGAGACGAAGAUGAAUCCUCUAGAAUGGGCCUACAAUGCGGAUCACGAUUCAAUUUAAGUUAAAAUGCAAAGCUGAAAUAAAUACAACUGUCCCGAAGAUAUUUUCUGCGAGUUACUA